rnacentral:ncRNA from 1 species
CACAAAGGCUUGGUCCUGACUUUGCCAUCAACUUUAACUAAACUUACACAUGCAAGUAUCCGCACCCCUGUGAGAAUGCCCCACAAGCUCCUGGAUGGAGACGAGGAGCCGGUAUCAGGCACAAUAAUUUUUAGCCCACGACGCCUUGCUAAGCCACACCCUCAAGGGAAUUCAGCAGUGACAAAUAUUAAGCUAUGAGUGAAAACUUGACUUAGUUAAUGUUUACAGGGUCGGUAAAUCUCGUGCCAGCCACCGCGGUUAUACGAGAGACUCAAGUUGAUUGCUACCGGCGUAAAGAGUGGUUAAGGGAAUAAUAAAACUAAAGCUAAACGACCUCAAAGCUGUUAUACGCACAUGAACGUAUGAAGCCCAACUACGAAAGUGACUUUAAAAUUCUGACUCCACGAAAGCUACGACACAAACUGGGAUUAGAUACCCCACUAUGCCUAGCCCUAAACAUCGAUACUAACCUACUUAUUUUAUCCGCCAGGGUACUACGAGCAUCAGCUUAAAACCCAAAGGACUUGGCGGUGCUUUAGAUCCACCUAGAGGAGCCUGUUCUAGAACCGAUAAUCCCCGUUAAACCUCACCUUUUCUUGCCAUAUCCGCCUAUAUACCGCCGUCGUCAGCUUACUCUGUGAGGAACUUGUAGUAAGCACAACCGGCACAGCCCAAAACGUCAGGUCGAGGUGUAGCGAAUGGAAAGGGAAGAAAUGGGCUACAUUCAAUAAUUAUAAUGAAUACGAAUGGUGUCUUGAAAAAGACAUCUGAAGGAGGAUUUAGCAGUAAGCAGGGAAUAGAGUGCCCUGCUGAAAUUGGCCCUGAAGCGCGUACACACCGCCCGUCACUCUCCCCGAGCUAAUAAAGACAAAUUACUAAUAAGCAAAAUCUGCAAAGGGGAGGCAAGUCGUACA